CGGAGACGGUUUCCUUCAGUUCGGCUGGAUCCAAGACAGGUGUUGCAUGGCUGUCGUCAGCUCGUGUCGUGAGAUGUUGGGUUAAGUCCCGCAACGAGCGCAACCCUCGCCUUUAGUUGCCAUCAUUAAGUUGGGCACUCUAGAGGGACUGCCGAUGAUAAGUCGGAGGAAGGUGGGGAUGACGUCAAGUCCUCAUGGCCCUUACGGGUUGGGCUACACACGUGCUACAAUGGCGGCGACAAUGGGCAGCGAAGGGGCGACCCGGUGCAAAUCCCAAAAAGCCGUCUCAGUUCGGAUUGUACUCUGCAACUCGAGUGCAUGAAGGUGGAAUCGCUAGUAAUCGCGUAACAGCAUGACGCGGUGAAUACGUUCCCGGGCCUUGUACACACCGCCCGUCACACCAUGGGAGUUGGUUUUACCCGAAGCCGGUGCGCUAACCGCAAGGAGGCAGCCGACCACGGUAAGGUCAGCGACUGGGGUGAAGUCGUAACAAGGUAGCCCUAGGGGAACCUGGGGCUGGAUCACCUCCUUU
rnacentral:rRNA from 1 species